ACAACAGCCUUUGUCUGACUCUGCUUCAAAGGAAUAUGAUACUGAUGCUAUUGAUAUUGCAAAAUCGACUCAUAUUUCUCCUGUGAUGCAACACAAACAGCACUCACUCCCUCCCCCUGAUAACACUGACCAUUCUAAAACAAAUGCUGGAGAAGGGAUGAGCUACAGUUUCAAAGAGCUUGCAACCAUCGAUACUAUUACUUCCACUGUGCAACAGGAUCAAUCAUUUCCUCGCCAAGCUCAAUUGUUUCCUGUAAAUGUUAUAGCACAACCACCUCUGACAAAAGUUAACAGUGACAUCAUUGAUCAAGAAACUGAUACAUCAUUUGCUGAAAAUCCACUUGCGAACUCUACAAAUCAGCUCUCUCCAAAUCAUGACGACGGUUUUUAUGAGUUUAAUCUCUUUUAUUACUGAAUUCCUUUUUUAUGGCUCAGCUUUUUCCACUAUUUGACUUAGUUUUUGUGUUUUUAGAUGCGAACAAAAUUGAGAAAGGUGGUCUCCCACAAACUCCCUUGAUACAUUCUGUCUCUGAAAUCAAUGUAGAAUCUGGCAUUCUAAUUGCCAUCAAUUCUGGAGAUCAUAGCCCCGUGAACUCCCAAGGUACAGAAACAAUGAGUUUGAAGAGACGAAAGAAGCGAAAUGCUCUAAACGUGGAUGAAAAUUGUGUAUCAUCAGCAGAUGUUCCAUCACAAGUUGAAGUCUUUUAUUUCACUUUACAACAAAAUCCAGCUCCAAAGAGACGUAGAUCAUCCAAAACAAAACUGUUUGUCUCUUAUCAACCUCCUUUUAAAUCUUUCACAUUUCAUUCCAUCAACCUCUUUUGAACUGUUAUUCCCAUGUGUCUAAUUUUUAUCUUUUCCAUGCAGCCCUCGUUUUAUUCAAUUAGAUGGCGUUUAUCUUUCUUAUGAUCAGUUUUAUGAAUCUUUCAAGCCUAGAGGUGAGGUUUUUGAUGUAACCAUGGCUGCUUAUUCACAUGUGUUCAAUAGCCAGCAAACAAAACCCCCAUCAGAUGUCUUGUUUCGCAAAAAGAUCGUCUUCUCUCCUUUCAUCACGAGAAAGUUGCUUUUAAGGAAUGAUCUAUUUCAACCUCGAUCCAUCCUAAAAGAGCUUAGGAGUUUUCAGGAGUCAGUCAAGUUUUCAAAUGCAGAUCUGGUAUGUUCAACUUAUUGUUGUUUCCAAGUUUUCAGGAUUCUAUUUUUUAUUUUUGUGUAACCUUUAUAAUUUACCUGUAUCACUCAUUUCCAUGUUCAACCCUCUAUUUUUUCCAGCUGUUUUUUCCUAUCGUGAUAGGUGAACAUUGGGUGCUUCUGUGCAUUAACAUUCUCUACAAAAAUAUCAACUUCUUUGAUUCUGCUGACAUUACUACGGAUAAAGACAAGUGUGACUUAAUUGAUACUUUGGUAUAAUUUUUUCAUAUCUUUUUUUCAACUGUUAAAGUCUUGUUAUACUAAUAUAUUCUUUCUUACUUUUUAGUACAUUCUUUUCAUGCGCACAUUAUACUUCUGAAUCUGUCAUUUUCAUUUUAUCAGGUUUCCAACUUUUCUAAAUCAUGUGUCGAAGCUGGCAUUUUUAGCAGCCCUUUACAACAUGGGGAGCAAAUUGUGCUGGAUUAUCCAAAGCAAAGCAACACAAAAGAUUGUGGAAUUUAUGUCAUGUCUUAUAUCGAGAAUUGGAAUGGAAAGCACAUGAAGAAUUUCGGACAGGCGUG